rnacentral:rRNA from 1 species
UGGGGAAUAUUGCACAAUGGGGGAAACCCUGAUGCAGCGACGCCGCGUGAGCGAAGAAGGUUUUCGAAUCGUAAAGCUCUGUCCUAUGAGAAGAUAAUGACAGUACCAUAGGAAUAAGGACCGGCUAAUUACGUGCCAGCAGCCGCGGUAAUACGUAAGGUCCGAGCGUUGUCCGGAAUCAUUGGGCGUAAAGGGUACGUAGGCGGGUAAGCAAGUUAGAAGUGAAAUCCUGUAGCUCAACUACAGUAAGCUUUUAAAACUGCUCAUCUUGAGAUAUGGAAGGGAAAGUGGAAUUCCUAGUGUAGCGGUGAAAUGCGCAGAUAUUAGGAGGAAUACCGGUGGCGAAGGCGACUUUCUGGCCAUAAUCUGACGCUGAGGUACGAAAGCGUGGGUAGCAGACAGG